GACGAACGCUGGCGGCGUGCCUAAUACAUGCAAGUAGAACGCUGAAACUUGGUGCUUGCACCGAGCGGAUGAGUUGCGAACGGGUGAGUAACGCGUAGGUAACCUGCCUGGUAGCGGGGGAUAACUAUUGGAAACGAUAGCUAAUACCGCAUAAGAGUAGAUGUUGCAUGACAUUUGCUUAAAAGGUGCAAUUGCACCACUACCAGAUGGACCUGCGUUGUAUUAGCUAGUUGGUGGGGUAACGGCUCACCAAGGCGACGAUACAUAGCCGACCUGAGAGGGUGAUCGGCCACACUGGGACGGAGACACGGCCCAGACUCCUACGGGAGGCAGCAGUAGGGAAUCUUCGGCAAUGGACGGAAGUCUGACCGAGCAACGCCGCGUGAGUGAAGAAGGUUUUCGGAUCGUAAAGCUCUGUUGUAAGAGAAGAACGAGUGUGAGAGUGGAAAGUUCACACUGUGACGGUAUCUUACCAGAAAGGGACGGCUAACUACGUG
rnacentral:rRNA from 1 species